rnacentral:rRNA from 1 species
GGGUUGUGAGGUUAAGCGACUAAGCGUACACGGUGGAUGCCCUGGCAGUCAGAGGCGAUGAAGGACGUGCUAAUCUGCGAUAAGCGUCGGUAAGGUGAUAUGAACCGUUAUAACCGGCGAUUUCCGAAUGGGGAAACCCAGUGUGUUUCGACACACUAUCAUUAACUGAAUCCAUAGGUUAAUGAGGCGAACCGGGGGAACUGAAACAUCUAAGUACCCCGAGGAAAAAAAAUCAACCGAGAUUCCCCCAGUAGCGGCGAGCGAACGGGGAGGAGCCCAGAGCCUGAAUCAGUGUGUGUGUUAGUGGAAGCGUCUGGAAAGGCGCGCGAUACAGGGUGACAGCCCCGUACACAAAAAUGCACAUGCUGUGAGCUCGAUGAGUAGGGCGGGACACGUGGUAUCCUGUCUGAAUAUGGGGGGACCAUCCUCCAAGGCUAAAUACUCCUGACUGACCGAUAGUGAACCAGUACCGUGAGGGAAAGGCGAAAAGAACCCCGGCGAGGGGAGUGAAAAAGAACCUGAAACCGUGUACGUACAAGCAGUGGGAGCACAGAGCAAUCUGUGUGACUGCGUACCUUUUGUAUAAUGGGUCAGCGACUUAUAUUCUGUAGCAAGGUUAACCGAAUAGGGGAGCCGAAGGGAAACCGAGUCUUAACUGGGCGUUAAGUUGCAGGGUAUAGACCCGAAACCCGGUGAUCUAGCCAUGGGCAGGUUGAAGGUUGGGUAACACUAACUGGAGGACCGAACCGACUAAUGUUGAAAAAUUAGCGGAUGACUUGUGGCUGGGGGUGAAAGGCCAAUCAAACCGGGAGAUAGCUGGUUCUCCCCGAAAGCUAUUUAGGUAGCGCCUCGUGAAUUCAUCUCCGGGGGUAGAGCACUGUUUCGGCAAGGGGGUCAUCCCGACUUACCAACCCGAUGCAAACUGCGAAUACCGGAGAAUGUUAUCACGGGAGACACACGGCGGGUGCUAACGUCCGUCGUGAAGAGGGAAACAACCCAGACCGCCAGCUAAGGUCCCAAAGUCAUGGUUAAGUGGGAAACGAUGUGGGAAGGCCCAGACAGCCAGGAUGUUGGCUUAGAAGCAGCCAUCAUUUAAAGAAAGCGUAAUAGCUCACUGGUCGAGUCGGCCUGCGCGGAAGAUGUAACGGGGCUAAACCAUGCACCGAAGCUGCGGCAGCGACACUGUGUGUUGUUGGGUAGGGGAGCGU